rnacentral:rRNA from 1 species
CAAUAAUAAAUGUGCCGCUGUUGAGAAGGGACGGAGAAAGGGACUCGGUCCGGGCGGAGCUUUUGGGAUCGCAACAGCAGCAGCAGCCGCCGCCGCCGGUACCGCAGCCGCCGCGGGUUCGCGACGAUGAUGCUCCAGGAGCCUGAGAGGGCUCUGACGAGGGGCUGGCUGUAAUUCGAGCGCAAGGCCGCGGAGCGCGAGUGGGAGGUGGGGCUGUUCGUCCGGGGCCCAAGGCUGCAGCGGCGGCGGUGGCGGCGGAAGGUCCUCGACGUUGUGCGCGUGAGGCAGGAGAGGCUGGGGGUCCUCGCGCGGAUGAUGCUGAGGGUGGCGAGGGUCUAGGAGAAGCGGCUGGGGCAGAGGAGGGCAAGGCCGUGGCGGAGGCGGAGUGGGCAGGGGCUGGAUAAGAGGAAGAAGAGGUGGAGGCGGAAAAGGCCGAAGAGGCUGAGGCCGGCGCCUAAGAUGUUCCAGAUGCCGCUGCAUAAGCUGUUCCAUAUGCGGGUCCUCCAGCGGAUACGGGCGGCGUACCCGUAGGGGUGGCUGAGGUAGGGGUGCGGCGGCCAGUAACCGUUGGAGCUGAGGGGAAUGUGGGUCCAGUGGCGAAAGAUGAGGAUGACCGACCCAAAGCCGAGCCAAUACCUGAAGCCCACCCGCCGGCUCACCCUGCGUAGGGCACCCCUCUUGGCGGCACAAUCCUCCGAGUACCUCCUCCUAUUGUUCUUCCGUUACGCGUUCCGCGCCGCCCUCAUAUUGCUACGACACUCUCCCAACCGACGGAAGACAUUCUUCUCUCUAUUCUCCCACCAACUGUACCGUGACGCCUUCUUCCGUCUCCUUCUCUUUUUCUUCUUCCUUCUCUACCUCGCUUUCUUCCGGCUCCUCUUCUUCUUCUUCCUCGCCCGUUACCGCAUAGUUCUCGGACUCACCCGCUCCCACCUGCUGUAGCUCAAUCGGAAACUCCUUCUCCUACUACUCCUCUGCUCCCUUUUCCGGUUCCUCCUCGACAUGACACACCGGACAUUAUUCUUCAAGUUCAGCCUCUUCGUCACCUUCUUGGUACUCGUCAGAUCCUUCGUAUUCCUAUUCCACCGACUAGACUCCUACCGGAAAUUCCUCCUCCUCCGCCGAGAUUUCCUUCGGCUCCUCCUCCGUCCUCCACUCACCCUUCUUCAACUACACCCCAAGCUGAAAUUCGGACGAUUGCUCAGGCUCCUCUCACUAACCAGUCUACGACGUCUUCUCAACCGACUCCUCAACCUGCUCCCGAACCUCCACCGCCUAGUUCUGUUACCAUUAUUCCUGAAGUUAUUACCCCUCGUCCUCCAACCAAGUAUACUACUCUGCUCACACAACCUCCGCUACAACAGUUCGACAUUCUUGUUCUUUUCACCGAUACACCAAGGAGUUCUCCUUCGAGGAAGACAAGAAUGUCUCCUACUAUUGUCACUUCUAUCUUUAAGACUUCAAUUCUCACAGUUCUUCUUUCCUGCGGCCUCCGCCCGUAGUUUCUUCCCUGUUCUACUUCCAUCAAUACGACUAUCACCUGUACCAUACUUCUUACUACAAGGUUUACUCCUUAGACACGUACUAUUACUACUUUUACUACGACUACUAUUCCGCCUUCCAGGUGGGAGAAGAUUACUACUACCGUGUAGUCGUUCGCAACCUCCGGUUGUCUUGCUUUUCUGACUGUUAGGAUUUUUCUUAUUUUUCUUGUUCUUUCCGCGUCUCUUCUUUUGUUGACAAAGACGACUGCAUUUCUAGUGUAGUUUCCCUUUCUUCGUUUUCCUCCAGAGCUCCCGUGCGUUACUAACACUUUGUACACCUCUAUGAAAGCUCAGUUCCUCGUUCAACAAAAGAGUAAACCUUCUUUGUCCAGUACGACACUAGUUCCGUGCUGUCUUUUUCGCAAUUCCCUCCACGACAGAAACCAAAUUGUGUAGUUGUUUGUCUCACUUUUGUGGUAUAGUAGGUCCCGUAGGACAAAUACUUUUUCCGUAGACUAGUUACCAAAGAAAGAGUAAAAACGGUUGGUUGGUUCUGUUCUGCGUGUAUGACGAUGAAAGAUGAGUAGUAUACACUGUCUGUUUAGAAUCCCUCUCCCGUUCAAAGACACCAGUCCGGUGAAUUGUAAGAACUUUUU